rnacentral:rRNA from 1 species
AACGAACGCUGGCGGCAUGCCUAACACAUGCAGGUCGAACGAGACCUUCGGGUCUAGUGGCGCACGGGUGCGUAACGCGUGGGAACCUGCCCUUAGGUUCGGAAUAACUCCCCGAAAGGGGUGCUAAUACCGGAUAAUGUCUUCGGACCAAAGAUUUAUCGCCUUUGGAUGGGCCCGCGUUGGAUUAGCUAGUUGGUAGGGUAAAAGCCUACCAAGGCGACGAUGCAGAGCUGGUCUGAGAGGAUGAUCAGCCACACUGGGACGGAGACACGGCCUAGACUCCGACGGGAGGGAGGAGUGGGGAAUAUUGGACAAUGGGCGAAAGCCUGAUCCAGCAAUGCCGCGUGAGUGAUGAAGGCCUUAGGGUUGUAAAGCUCUUUUACCCGGGAUGAUAAUGACAGUACCGGGAGAAUAAGCUCCGGCUAACUCCGUG